UGCUUAAUACAAAUAAUAAUUAAUUGAUUAAACAAACCAAUGAAACUCUUAAUGUUGACUCUAUUCAGCAAAAUUACUCUUUUAUAAGUUCAGGGGCCACGAAAUCUACUGAUGGGAUUUUUGUACAUGCUGAUAAAAUUCUGAUAGAAACUAACAUUUUAAGUGAUAUUUUUUUGGAAAUAAAAACAAAGAACAUAA